rnacentral:rRNA from 1 species
CCUACGGGAGGCUGCAGUGAGGAAUAUUGGUCAAUGGGCGCGAGCCUGAACCAGCCAAGUCGCGUGAGGGAAGACGGUCCUAUGGAUUGUAAACCUCUUUUGUCGGGGAGCAAAAGACGCCACGCGUGGCGUUCCGAGAGUACCCGAAGAAAAAGCAUCGGCUAACUCCGUGCCAGCAGCCGCGGUAAUACGGAGGAUGCGAGCGUUAUCCGGAUUUAUUGGGUUUAAAGGGUGCGCAGGCGGAAUAUCAAGUCAGCGGUAAAAUUGUGGGGCUCAACCUCUUCCAGCCGUUGAAACUGGUUGUCUUGAGUGAGUGAGAAGUAUGCGGAAUGCGUGGUGUAGCGGUGAAAUGCAUAGAUAUCACGCAGAACUCCGAUUGCGAAGGCAGCAUACCGGCGCUCAACUGACGCUCAUGCACGAAAGUGUGGGUAUCGAACAGGAUUAGAUACCCCAGUAGUC